GUGAGCACUCCUAUCGAAAUGGUACUUGUUAAGUAAAAACAAAGAAAAUUGCAGCAGUAAAUAACUGAAUUGAAAUGACAAAAGAGGGAAUGUGGAAAAAUCACUAAUUUCAUUUAAUCCCUUGAGCAUUCAACCCUCAACCUUACCCUCUUCCAUCUCUCUUUACGCCGCCGUCAACAGUUCUCCUCUAUCUCUCUGCCUCGACGGCUCUACCUGUUGCCGCUGCGCUAUUGACUCAACUAGUCUCCGCCGGAGUAUCUCUUUUUGGAUUCUCUUCUGCUCUCGCCGGAGCUCGUCGGUGGCUCGCCGAAGCUCAUCUUCACUCUGCUUUGCGCCUCUAUCUCUCUGCCUCGACCUUCCAUUGUUGUCAUUGUUCUGCCGUCGCAUAAGUUGAGGUUGAAGAAUUGACUGGACAAUUAGUGUGAUCAAGGGAAUGGGAAGGAAGGAAUAAAGAAAGAAACGAAACAAACAUUUCUUUCCCGUAGCCCCCGCAGCCCCGCUCGUUGUCAUCGACACUCUUCUUUGCUGGUAUAGGCGUCGCGUGUGGAAGCUCCGUCGUAGUCUCCUCUGUUUGAGCUCUCUCUCUUUGUUCGCCUGUGUCACCGUCUCCUCUGUCGUUGCCGUCACUUCCCUUCCUCCUCACCGCCGGCAUUGGGGUAUCUUCAAUUAGUGUGUUCUAAUUAAACCAGUUGAACCUUAACGGUUCAUUGACCGGUUCAGUUCUCGCAACCUUGACACUAACACACACUCACCUUCCACCUUCACACUCUCACAGAGCUUCACCCAGACAGUCACUCUCACCUCUCUACCUCACUCACCGCACGGUAACUGCCGACCACAACGUCAGCCAACGACAGCGGAGGUCGUCAAACGUCACUCUCUUCGCCGACUCCUGUGCCUCGUCCCUGCACUGUCAGUGUUUGCUCACUCGGUUCAGACCAAAAUAGUAAAAAAAAAAAAUGCUCAGUCGGGCACUGCCCAAACCCCCUAAACCAAAAACCUCGUUCUCGCUUCCACCUCGAACAUUUUCAGCCUGCACCCACUGUCCAUCGCCACCCCAACCGGCAGCAGAAGAAGACGCCAAUGCCGUAGCCAAACUCGUCCUCCAAUCAGACCCCAAAACCCUCUCUGAAGCCCUAGCAAAGCCCACAUUCCAAUGGUCCCCGCACCUUGUUGACAGGGUUUUGAAGCUUGUGUGGAACCACGGGACCAAAGCCCUCCAAUUCUUCAACGCCCUGUUCCACCACCCGACCUACGUCCACUCCCCUUCUUCGUUCGACCACGCUGUUGACAUCGCAGCACGCAUGCGCGACUAUCAGGCCGCGUGGGCUCUUGUGGUUCGCAUGCGCUCCCUCCGCAUUGGGCCCACUUCCAAGACCCUUGCCAUCCUAGCCGAGCGCUAUGCCUCCGCUGGAAAAGCCCACCGGGCUGUUAACGUGUUCCUGUCCAUGCACCACCACGGCUGCCGCCAGGACCUUGCCUCUUUCAACACCAUCCUUGACAUUUUGUGCAAAUCAAGGCGCGUGGAGAUGGCUCAUAACCUCUUCAAGACAUUCAGGAGCAGGUUUAAUUGUGACAGUAUCACCUAUAACAUAAUCGCCAAUGGUUGGUGCUUGAUUAAGCGACCCCCUAUGGCGUUGCAGGUGUUUAAGGAGAUGGUUGAGAGAGGCAUCAUGCCAACGCUGGUGACAUAUAACAUAAUCUUGAAAGGGUAUUUUAUGACUCGUCAAUUGAAUGAAGCUUGGGAGUUUUUCUUGGAGAUGAAGAGGAGGAAGUGCGAGAUUGAUGUUGUUACAUACACUACUAUGAUUUAUGGGUUCGGGGUUGCGGGAGAGGUUAAGAAAUCAAAGAGGAUUUUCGAUGAAAUGGUUGGAGAGGGGGUUGUUCCAAAUGUUGCUACUUAUAAUGCUUUGGUGCAUGUUUUGUGCAAGAAGGAUAAUGUGGAGAAUGCUGUCUUAGUUUUUGAAGAGAUGGUGAUGAAGGGGUUUGUGCCAAAUUCAGUUUCUUACAAUGCUGUUAUAAGAGGGUUUUGUCAUGCUGGUGAGAUGGAGAGGGCAUUGCGGUUUAUGGCUAGAAUGGAGAAAGAGGGGUGUCAUCCAAAUGUUCAAACAUAUAAUGUGGUGAUUCGGUAUUUAUGUGAUGCUGGGGAUAUUGAGAAAGGUUUGGAGUUGUUUGAGAAGAUGGGGGAUGGGUCAUGCUUGCCGAAUCUAGACACGUACAAUGUUUUGAUUAGCGCAAUGUUUGUUAGAAAGAAAUCUGAGGAUUUGAUGGUGGCUGGAAAAUUAUUGUUAGAGAUGAUCAAUAGAGGGUUUUUACCCCGGAAGUUUACUUUUAAUCGUGUGCUAAAUGGGCUUGUCCUAACCGGCAAUCAAGAUUUUGCAAGGGAGAUUUUAAGUAUGCAGAGCAGGUGUGGUCGUCUUCCUCGUCAGUUGAAAUUGUGAGGCCCUUAAUGUUAGACUUGAGUUUGGAGAAACAUUGAACUCAAAAUUUGGGCAAUGUAUUUGAUGAUCAUGCCAUAGAGAGCCUUCAUCCACACAAGGAACACAUUAACAGCCUGGUGGGCUUUUCCAGCGGAGGCAUAGCACUCGGCUAGGAUGGUGAGGGUCUUGGAAGUGGGCCCAAUGCGGAGGGAGCACAUGCAGACCACAAGGGCCCACGCGGCCUGAUAGUCACGCAUGCGUGUUGCAAUGUCAACAACGUGGUCGAAUGAAGAAGGGGAGUGUAUGUAGCUCGGGUGGUGGAACAGGGCGUUGAAGAAUUGGAGGGCUUUGGGCCCGUGAUGCCACAGAAGCUUCAAAACCCUGUCGACAAGGUGCGGGGACCACUGGAAGGUGGGCUUUGCUAGGGUUUUGGGGUCUGAUUGGAGGACGAGUUUGGCUACGGUAUUGGCGUCUUCUUCUGCUGCCGGUUGGGAUGGCGAUGGACAGUGGGUGCAGGCUGAAAAUGUUCGAGGUGGAAGCGAGAAUAGGGUUUAGAGGGUUUGGGCAGUGCCCGAGUGAGCACAGUGCAGGGACGAGACACAGGAGUUGGCGAAGAGAGUGACGUUUGACGACCUCCGCCAUCGUUGGCUGACGUUGUGGUCGGCGGUUACCGUGCGGUGAGUGAGGUAGAAAGGUGAGAGUGAGGUCCAGACUCCUUUUGGGGCUGAACGUGAGGUCCAAACUCCUUUUGGGGCAGUGUCCGACUUCUACUUGUGCUGAGGUGCUGAGUCUUAAGUUAGCAAGGGUUUAAAGUAGGUUUUUAGUAGAUUGGGUCUUGAAUAUACAUGAGGAUGUCAGUAUAUUUAUAGUAGAAUAGAUAACCACCUUUUAGUGUAGUUCCACCUUUGAUGGUUGAUACAGUUCCCUUUUUCUAGGAGAGUUGUUGAACCGAACUCUAUGUGGUCGGAUAGGUGUAGAUGAUGCCAGCUCUCUUGGGUGGACUUUUAUUUAUUUUGGGUCUAGCUAUAUUUUUGCACUAGGGUAUGAACAGUGCCUUUGCUCGAGUCUAAGCUUGACGAGAUCAGCCUCAAGCAUUUGUAGAUCGUGUUGCUAAGUCGGGUAUUGGACAUGUUUUUGUGAAAAUUUUGAAACGUAACGUCUUUUCGUAGUCUUUGUACGUUACUUCUGUGGUUACCUUGGUAACCGUGUGUGUCAUAAAUGAGGAGAUAUGAAAUUACUCCUUUGCCCCUAGCAUCUUAUAAAUACCAAAAAUCCUUUCGCUUU